AACGAACGCUGGCGGCAGGUUUAAUACAUGCAAGUCGAGCGCUGUAGCAAUACAGAGCGGCAGACGGGUGAGUAACGCGUGGGAAUGUGCCCUUUGGUCAGGAAUAACACAGGGAAACUUGUGCUAAUACCAGAUAAGCCCGAAAGGGGAAAGAUUUAUCGCCAAAGGAUCAGCCCGCGUUGGAUUAGCUAGUUGGUGAGGUAAUGGCUCACCAAGGCUACGAUCUAUAGCUGAUCUGAGAGGAUGAUCAGCCACACUGGGACUGAGACACGGCCCAGCCUCCUACGGGAGGCAGCAGUAGGGAAUAUCGGACAAUGGGGGAAACCCUGAUCCAGCCAUGCCGCGUGAGUGAUGUAGGCCUUAGGGUUGUAAAGCUCUUUUACCUGGGAAGAUAAUGACUGUACCAGGAGAAUAAGCCCCGGCUAACUUCGUGCCAGCCGCCGCCGUAA
rnacentral:rRNA from 1 species